UCUCCCGCCGAGCCACAUGGGACAGAGCAGCGAGCGCGCUCGUCUGCAACCGCCGGCGAGGCCUCUCGGGAUAAUGCUUAUCCCGCAGCCCCGCACUCCCUCUCUACGCCUAUAAAAGGCCCCUGGCCUCCUCUUUCUUCCUCGCUGUCUCGCACAACUCCAGGCCGCUCAUAGCUGUCGCCCCGUUCAUUUGCAUCUCGCCGGCCGAGCCAACUCCGCCGGAGAAAUACGUCUCCAGUGACCACACCCUUGCCUCCAAACUUCUUCAUUUGGAUACGUGUAACCAUGCGCAUCUUGUUGACAUCUACUCACUGUGUAGGUCUCGCUGGAGCCGCCGUCCCGACGACCUACGUCCUCGCCGGAGCACGGAGCCACCGUCCCCGCGCAACAUGACCCCGACGUCCCCGACGCAAGCCGCCUCCACCACAGGACAGCCCUCGACACGCCGGUCCCGUUCGUCUUCUCCCCCACCGCCGAGGACCACCGCAAUCGCCGUCCCGUCCGCCGCCUGACGCUAGCGCCGCCGUCCCUGUUCGUCAUCGUUGUCACAGAAUUUCUACGACGAGUAAGAGUUACGUUGUAGGGUUACGGUCUACACUCAACUUGACGUUGGCGUUGAUGGGACUCCACACCCGUUCGAUUAUUUCCGCUGAGACCUAUGAGCAUACCGAUCCAGGGAUGGCACAGAUACACAGAUGCUUGAUCGGUUGAGGUCGGCUCGCUACAUGCUGCCUAAAUUGGAUACAUUUAUUUUUCUUACAAAUGAAUGGCCCAAGAAGGACAAGAAGGAUGAACAUUGGAGCAUGAUCAAGCAUGGAGAGGAUGGCACGCGCAAGUGGAACAAGAACGGAGUUUUCGGUGGAUUUUUCAGCACUUUGAAGCCACCAUGAUGACAUACGAGGACAUGGACGAAAUAUAGAACAUGGCCUUUCAUAAAUUUCGUCCAUUGCUUAAUAUAGAUGUUGCGCCACCUUAUUUUUGGGCCAGGCCCAUGUAAUUUUGAAAUAUACUUAAUAGGCUAUUUUUGGAGCCCGUAUUAAUAGGGAAAAUGACUUAGGACAGAAUUUAGUCCCACCUUACGAAGGGUGGACGAAAUUCCCCUCUGUAUCCCUAUAAAUACAACCCUUAGGGUGUCGUUUUAGACUUGGGUUUUGUUUAGAUUAAAGUUCGCCAUACUGCAAUGCGUGUACUUCUUUUGUGUCCAAUGACCAGGCGAAGACG